rnacentral:rRNA from 2 species
CAUCCUGAAGAUUGAAGCUUGCUUCAUGAUUCAGAUUUUGGUGAGUGGCGGACGGGUGAGUAACACGUGGGUAACCUGCCCAAAAGUGGGGGAUAACAUUUGGAAACAAGUGCUAAUACCGCAUAACAACUACUUUCACAUGAUCGUAGCUUGAAAGAUGGCUCUGCUAUCGCUUUUGGAUGGACCCGCGGCGUAUUAGCUAGUUGGUGAGGUAAUAGCUCACCAAGGCAAUGAUACGUAGCCGACCUGAGAGGGUAAUCGGCCACAUUGGGACUGAGACACGGCCCAAACUCCUACGGGAGGCAGCAGUAGGGAAUCUUCCACAAUGGGCGAAAGCCUGAUGGAGCAAUGCCGCGUGAGUGAAGAAGGUUUUCGGAUCGUAAAACUCUGUUGUUGAAGAAGAACAUGCGUGAGAGUAACUGUUCGCGUACUGACGGUAUUCAACCAGAAAGCCACGGCUAACUACGUGCCAGCAGCCGCGGUAAUACGUAGGUGGCAAGCGUUGUCCGGAUUUAUUGGGCGUAAAGAGAAUGUAGGCGGUUUAUUAAGUUUGAAGUGAAAGCCCUCGGCUCAACCGAGGAAGUGCUUCGAAAACUGGUAAACUUGAGUGCAGAAGAGGAAAGUGGAACUCCAUGUGUAGCGGUGGAAUGCGUAGAUAUAUGGAAGAACACCAGUGGCGAAGGCGGCUUUCUGGUCUGUAACUGACGCUGAGAUUCGAAAGCAUGGGUAGCAAACAGGAUUAGAUACCCUGGUAGUCCAUGCCGUAAACGAUGAGUGCUAAGUGU